rnacentral:rRNA from 1 species
UACAGAGGGUGCAAGCGUUGUUCGGAAUUACUGGGCGUAAAGGGCCAGUAGGCGGCCAACUAAGUCACACGUGAAAUCCCCAGGCUUAACCUGGGAACUGCGUGUGAUACUGGAUGGCUUGAAUUCGGGAGAGGGAUGCAGAAUUCCAGGUGUAGCGGUGAAAUGCGUAGAUAUCUGGAGGAAUACCGGUGGCGAAGGCGGCAUCCUGGACCGACAUUGACGCUGAACGGCGAAAGCUAGGGGAGCAAACAGG